GCCUCAUGAGGAAGGCAGGCGCUGUGGGAUCAGGGAGGAGAGCCCCGUGGGACAUGCCAAGGGUGAGUUCUCAUCGCUGUGAGGAACCAAGGGCACUGACUGCACCCUCCUGCGGUGCUGUGGCUUCGCAGGUUCUCCAGAGCUGGGGACAUUCCGUUUUACAGACUGCAUCCGUUUCCUUGGACCAGGUGGGAUUAGAGGGGUUGAAGAGCAAGUUGGGAGAUAGCAGGGACCUCGGUUCAGAGUGCAGAGCCGCUGUCCCUGCGAUGCUGCCUGCAGCCUGGCAGUGUCUCUUGCAGAUUCCUCUGCAGAGGCUGCCUGGAGACACUGCUCCUCUUCCCCUGCUUGUAUUAAAGGGCCCAUAAAAGGGGGCGAGGAACCUGCCGACCCCGAGGGCAGGCUGCUCUGCUGGUGAACGCGGAGGAAGCAGCAGGCGGGACGGCUCUGCACUGGAAGAAGGAGGCAGGGAGAGGGGAAAGCAUCGCUCCGAGGGAGAGCCGCAAGCGAAGGAGCUCCGAGAAUGACAAAGGCAGCCGAGCACUCACCCGCACUCCGCGCUCCUGGGACCUCCCGCUCAGCUCCAGCCCAGGCUGGUCCUG